rnacentral:rRNA from 1 species
UACAGAGGGGGCAAGCGUUGUUCGGAAUUACUGGGCGUAAAGAGCGUGUAGGCGGCCAGGUAGGUCAGCUGUGAAAACUCGAGGCUCAACCUCGAGCUGUCGGCUGAAACCAUCUGGCUAGAGUCCGGAAGAGGAGAAUGGAAUUCCCGGUGUAGCGGUGAAAUGCGCAGAUAUCGGGAAGAACACCCGUGGCGAAGGCGGUUCUCUGGGACGGUACUGACGCUGAGACGCGAAAGCGUGGGGAGCGAACAGG